CUUGCCAGGGAACUACGAGCCCCAGCUUAAAACCCAAAGGACUUGGCGGUGCUUUAGACCCCCCUAGAGGAGCCUGUUCUAGAACCGAUAACCCCCGUUCAACCUCACCCUCUCUUGUUUAACCCGCCUAUAUACCGCCGUCGUCAGCUUACCCUAUGAAGGAUGCACAGUAAGCAGAAUUGGUACAACCCAAAACGCCAGGUCGAGGUGUAGCGUACGAGAGGGGAAGAAAUGGGCUACAUUCACUGAACCAGUGAACAACGGACGAUGCCUUGAAAUAAGCAUCUAAAGGAGGAUUUAGCAGUAAGAGGAGAAACAGAGAGUCCCUCUGAAACUGGCCCUGAAGCGCGCACACACCGCCCGUCACUCUCCCCAAAACAAACAUAAGCAUAAAUAAGAAGAAAUAAAAAUAAAGGGGAGGCAAGUCGUAACAUGGUAAGUGUACCGGAAGGUGCACUUGGAAAAAC
rnacentral:rRNA from 1 species